rnacentral:rRNA from 1 species
GACGUAGGAGGCGAGCGUUAUCCGGAUUCACUGGGGCGUAAAGCGCAUGUAGGCGGAUGUCUAAGUCGUGUGUUAAAGCCCCUGGCUCAACUGGGGGAGGUCAUGCGAGACUGGAUGACUUGAGGGCAACAGAGGCACGUGGAACUCCCGGUGUAGCGGUGGAAUGCGUAGAGAUCGGGAAGAACACCCGUGGCGAAGGCGGCGUGCUGGGUUGCAACUGACGCUGAGAUGCGAAAGUGUGGGGAGCAAACGGG